rnacentral:rRNA from 1 species
CAUGCAAGUCGAACGGUAGUGCGUCCUUCGGGGCGAAUGAGAGUGGCGAACGGGUGAGUAACACGUAACUGAUCUGCCCUUUAGACUGGGAUAACCUUUGGAAACAGAGGCUAAUACCGGAUGCCCUCGCGGUAGUUAGAGAGCCGUGAGAAAAGGUUUUUGCGCUAAGGGAUGAGGUUGCGGGCCAUCAGCUAGUUGGUGAGGUAACGGCUUACCAAGGCGAUGGCGGCUAGGGGACCUGAGAGGGUGGCCCCCCACACUGGGACUGAGACACGGCCCAGACUCCUACGGGAGGCAGCAGUAAGGGAUAUUGCACAAUGGACGGAAGUCUGAUGCAGCGACGCCGCGUGGGUGAAGAAGGUUUUCGGAUCGUAAAGCCCUUUUCUAUGUGACGAGAGAGGACGGUAGCAUAGGAAUAAGUGUCGGCUAACUACGUGCCAGCAGCCGCGGUAAAACGCAGGACGCGAACGUUAUCCGGAGUUACUGGGCGUAAAGCGCGCGUAGGCGGUUGUUUAAGUUACCUAUGAAAGAUACAGGCUAAACUUGUAUUGGUUAGGUAAAACUGGAUAACUAGAGAGAAAUAGAGGGAAGUAGAAUUCCGGGUGUAGUGGUGAAAUGCGUAGAUAUCCGGAGGAAUACCAGUGGCGAAGGCGGCUUCCUGGAUUUCCACUGACG